CCUACGGGUGGCAGCAGUGAGGAAUAUUGGUCAAUGGACGGAAGUCUGAACCAGCCAUGCCGCGUGCAGGAAGACGGCCCUAUGAGUUGUAAACUGCUUUUGUGCAAGGGUAAACCUGAAUACGUGUAUUCAGCUGAACGUACUGUACGAAUAAGGAUCGGCUAACUUCGUGCCAGCAGCCGCGGUAAUACGGAGGAUCCAAGCGUUAUCCGGAUUUAUUGGGUUUAAAGGGUGCGUAGGCGGAUUGAUAAGUUAGAGGGGAAAUGUCGGAGCUUAACUCGGGAACUGCCUCUAAUACGGUUGAUCUAGAGAGUAGAGGCGGUAGGAGGAAUGUAGGGUGUAGCGGUGAAAUGCUUA
rnacentral:rRNA from 1 species